rnacentral:rRNA from 1 species
UACAGAGGUCUCAAGCGUUGUUCGGAUUCAUUGGGCGUAAAGGGUGUGUAGGUGGCGCCGUAAGUCGGGUGUGAAAUUUCGGAGCUUAACCCCGAAACUGCAUUCGAUACUGCGGUGCUUGAGGACUGGAGAGGAGACUGGAAUUCAUGGUGUAGCAGUGAAAUGCGUAGAGAUCAUGAGGAAGACCAGUGGCGAAGGCGGGUCUCUGGACAGUUCCUGACACUGAGGCACGAAGGCCAGGGGAGCAAACGGG